UCUCGCCGGCUCCCUGGCCUGGGACGGUCCCGGCGCCCUCGCACCCGCCCCCGGCACCGCCACCCUCCCUCUCCUCUCCCCACCCCCCCACCGGCGCCCGCCCUCGCCCUGCGCCGCCGGUCUGUUCGGCCCUCCGGGCCCCCUCUCCAGCCGGCCCCCCACCUCCCCCCGGAGCCAGGCUGGUUUCGGAAAUGCCCUUACAGCAGCAGGAAGCAGAGUCCAAGAGAAAUGCCCUGCCCAGGGUCUGGCAGAACUGAUGGAGAGCAGCCUUCGUGGCUACCACCUUCCCAUAAAGUCUGUGCUCUCCAGCGGCGCUUGGCAAAGCGAAGGCUGGAGCUAGGAGAAAGCGGUCAUCAGUACCUCUCAGAUGGUUUAAAAACCCCCAAGGGCAAAGGAAGAGCUGCACUACGAAGUCCAGAUAGUCCAAAAAGUAAGGAUCUUUUCAUCUCUUUCCUUAUUCUCCUUGGUAUGGCAUUUCCAAGUUUCAAAGCUUAUGGCCGGAAGGAUGCCAAGGUGUGAAUAAUUCUGGCAUGUUUUGUUCUUUUUCAUUUCUUUCUGUGCUUAUCAAAAAAAAAAAAAAAA
rnacentral:lncRNA from 1 species